rnacentral:rRNA from 1 species
UACGGGGGGGGCAAGCGUUGUUCGGAAUUACUGGGCGUAAAGGGCUCGUAGGCGGCCAACUAAGUCGGACGUGAAAUCCCCAGGCUCAACCUGGGAACUGCGUCCGAUACUGGAUGGCUUGAAUCCGGGAGAGGGAUGCGGAAUUCCAGGUGUAGCGGUGAAAUGCGCAGAUAUCGGGAGGAACACCAAUGGCGAAGGCAGCUCGCUGGGACGGUACUGACGCUGAGACGCGAAAGCGUGGGGAGCAAACAGG